UACGGGGGGAGCAAGCGUUGUUCGGAUUUACUGGGCGUAAAGGGCGCGUAGGCGGCCACCGCAAGUCGGUUGUGAAAUCUCCGGGCUUAACCCGGAAAGGUCAAUCGAUACUGCGGGGCUAGAGUGCAGAAGGGGCAACUGGAAUUCUCGGUGUAGCGGUGAAAUGCGCAGAUAUCGAGAGGAACACCUGCGGCGAAGGCGGGUUGCUGGGCUGACACUGACGCUGAAGCGCGAAAGCUAGGGGAGCGAACGGG
rnacentral:rRNA from 1 species